rnacentral:rRNA from 1 species
GAUCAUGGCUCAGGACGAACGCUGGCGGCGUGCCUAAUACAUGCAAGUAGAACGCUGAAGGAGGAGCUUGCUUCUCUGGAUGAGUUGCGAACGGGUGAGUAACGCGUAGGUAACCUGCCUGGUAGCGGGGGAUAACUAUUGGAAACGAUAGCUAAUACCGCAUAAAAUUGAUUAUUGCAUGAUAGUCAAUUAAAAGGUGCAAUUGCAUCACUACCAGAUGGACCUGCGUUG